UUUUAUUUAUUUUUUACGAAUUUGGGUUCAUUUAUUUAGUUACUCUGAUUUCAGGUUUUGGGGUAAUCCCUAAUGCUUUAUUUAUUUAUUUUUUACGAAUUUGGGUUCAUUUAUUUGGUUACUUUGAUUUGAGGUUCUUGAGUAAUCCCUAUUGCUAUAUAAGAGGAGCUGAGGUAUUUAAAUUUCACAACAUAUUGGAUUCUAUCAGGAAGGGGAUUGAAUCUCACAGAUUAGCUCAGGGUCAAGACCUCUAUCAAAGAGAAGAAAAAUCAUUAAGACAUUGCAAAACAGAACUCGCCCAAUUAAAUAGCAUGCUGUUCAAAACUAUCCAAAUUUUGCUAUUUUGAUGCCUACUUCCUACUAUUAACAUCUCAAUGUAUAUACAAACAAGUGUACUAUUUUAACAUAACAAGUAGCCUGUAAAAUAUGUUAUUACUUGUUUUUUUGCAACUUACACUCCCUUAGUUAAACAUAAUGUUAUAAAUUAAAUCUCAUUGUAUA